GCUGGUCCUCGGAGGAGGACAGACAGGAACAGGUGAACGGAGCCACAGAAGCUGGAAGAGGCAGAGGAUCCUCCCCUGGAGCCUCUAGAGGAACCAGCCCUGCGAUCCCCUGAUCAUAGCCAGACUGAACACCUGAGACCCAGACUGAACGCCUGACCUUCAGAAUGUCAGGUACUGGGACUUCCCUGGUGGCACAGUGGUUAAGAAUCCGCCUGCCAACGCAGGGGACACGGGUUCGAGCCCUGGUCCGGGAAGAUCCCACAUGCCGCGGAGCAGCUGAGCCCGUGCGCCACAACUACUGAGCCUGCGCUCUAGAGCCCGUGAGCCACAACUACUGAGCCCGCAUGCCACAACUACUGAAGCCCGUGCGCCUAGAGCCCAUGCUCCACAAAAAGAGAAGCCACCGCAAUGAGAAGCCCACGCACCACAAUGAAAAGUAGCCCCCGCUCGC